AGAUUGAACGCUGGCGGCAGGCCUAACACAUGCAAGUCGAGCGGUAGAGAGGUGCUUGCAUCUCUUGAGAGCGGCGGACGGGUGAGUAAUGCCUAGGAAUCUGCCUAGUGGUGGGGGAUAACGUUCGGAAACGGACGCUAAUACCGCAUACGUCCUACGGGAGAAAGCGGGGGACCUUCGGGCCUCGCGCCAUUAGAUGAGCCUAGGUCGGAUUAGCUAGUUGGUGAGGUAGUGGCUCACCAAGGCGACGAUCCGUAACUGGUCUGAGAGGAUGAUCAGUCACACUGGAACUGAGACACGGUCCAGACUCCUACGGGAGCAGCAGUGGGGAAUAUUGGACAAU
rnacentral:rRNA from 1 species